GCUUUCCCAAGUUUUGUAAGUGAGGACGAAGUCCCUAUGAGUUUUUUUGUUUUAUAUCUACUCUACUUUAGCAGCCAGGAUCCGGGUUGCAUUUCACUUUCUUAUACUCAGUCAUACACACCAAUCUUGUCAUAUUGGACUCCAAAAACCAUACACAAGAUUAUUAUGGCUUUCCCAAGUUUUGUAAGUGAGGACGAAGUCCCUAUGAGUUUUUUUGUUUUAUAUCUACUCUACUUUAGCAGCUAGGAUACGGGUUGCAUUUCACUUUCUUAUACUCAGUCAUACACACUAAUCUUGUCAUAUUGGACUCCAAAUACCCUACACAAGCUUAUUAUGCCUUCCCCAAGUUUUGUAAGUGAAGACGAAGUCCCUAUCAGUUUUUUUGUUUUGUAUCUACUCUACUUUAGCAGCCAGGAUCCGGGUUGCAUUUCACUUUCUUAUACUCAGUCAUACACACCAAUCUUGUCAUAUUGGACUCCAAAAACCAUACACAAGCUUAUUAUGGCUUUCCCAAGUUUUGUAAGUGAGGACGAAGUCCCUAUGAGUUUUUUUGUUUUAUAUCUACUCUACUUUAGCAGCCAGG
rnacentral:lncRNA from 1 species